UACGUAGGGUGCGAGCGUUGUCCGGAAUUAUUGGGCGUAAAGAGCUUGUAGGCGGUUUGUCGCGUCUGCUGUGAAAUCUCAAGGCUCAACCUUGAGCUUGCAGUGGGUACGGGCAGACUAGAGUGUGGUAGGGGAGACUGGAAUUCCAGGUGUAGCGGUGAAAUGCGUAGAUAUCUGGAGGAAUACCGGUGGCGAAGGCGGCAUCCUGGACCGACAUUGACGCUGAACGGCGAAAGCUAGGGGAGCAAACGGG
rnacentral:rRNA from 1 species